CAGAGUAACCAGUGCCCGCCCUCGUUCUGCGAGGGUUGGGCCGGCUACCCGUCCUUUGUCAUGAGUGUGACGGGGCGUGUCUCCCGUCAAAAAGGAGGGGCGCCCCCGAAUCUACUUCCCAGGAGGUGUCGAGCGUUCGUUUUCGAACGGGCGAGCGACCGCCUGGGGUCACUUUUUCCAAACUCUUGCGAAAGCUGUGAAGUCUGAAGUGAAAACAAACAUUAAAAAAAAGCA
rnacentral:misc_RNA from 1 species